rfam:Candidatus Komeilibacteria bacterium RIFCSPHIGHO2_01_FTLL_52_14 rifcsphigho2_01_scaffold_5174, whole genome shotgun sequence.
CGGGGAUUGGCGCAGUUGGUAGCGCGCACGCUUCGGGUGCGUGAGGCCGUGGGUUCGAGUCCCACAUCCCCGA